UGACCGAGCACGCCGCGUGAGUGAAGAAGGUUUUCGGAUCGUAAAACUCUGUUGUUAGAGAAGAACAAGGAUGAGAGUAAAAKGUUCAUCCCUUGACGGUAUCUAACCAGAAAGCCACGGCUAACUACGUGCCAGCAGCCGCGGUAAUACGUAGGUGGCAAGCGUUGUCCGGAUUUAUUGGGCGUAAAGCGAGCGCAGGCGGUUUCUUAAGUCUGAUGUGAAAGCCCCCGGCUCAACCGGGGAGGGUCAUUGGAAACUGGGAGACUUGAGUGCAGAARAGGAGAGUGGAAUUCCAUGUGUAGCGGUGAAAUGCGUAGAUAUAUGGAGGAACACCAGUGGCGAAGGCGGCUCUCUGGUCUGUAACUGACGCUGAGGCUCGAAAGCGUGGGGAGCGAACAGGAUUAGAUACCCUGGUAGUCCACGCCGUAAACGAUGAGUGCUAAGUGUUGGAGGGUUUCCGCCCUUCAGUGCUGCAGCAAACGCAUUAAGCACUCCGCCUGGGGAGUACGACCGCAAGGUUGAAACUCAAAGGAAUUGACGGGGGCCCGCACAAGCGGUGGAGCAUGUGGUUUAAUUCGAAGCAACGCGAAGAACCUUACCAGGUCUUGACAUCCUUUGACCACUCUAGAGAUAGAGCUUCCCCUUCGGGGGCAAAGUGACAGGUGGUGCAUGGUUGUCGUCAGCUCGUGUCGUGAGAUGUUGGGUUAAGUCCCGCAACGAGCGCAACCCUUAUUGUUAGUUGCCAUCAUUUAGUUGGGCACUCUAGCGAGACUGCCGGUGACAAACCGGAGGAAGGUGGGGAUGACGUCAAAUCAUCAUGCCCCUUAUGA
rnacentral:rRNA from 1 species